UUCUAAGGGCGUUGAAGCAUGAUCGCAAGGACAUGUGGAGCGCUUAGAAGUGAGAAUGCCGGUGUGAGUAGCGAAAGACGGGUGAGAAUCCCGUCCACCGAUUGACUAAGGUUUCCAGAGGAAGGCUCGUCCGCUCUGGGUUAGUCGGGUCCUAAGCUGAGGCCGACAGGCGUAGGCGAUGGAUAACAGGUUGAUAUUCCUGUACCACCAUUAUUCGUUUUAAGCGAUGGGGGGACGCAGUAGGAUAGGCGAAGCGUGCUGUUGGAGUGCACGUCCAAGCAGUGAGAUUGAGUGUUAGGCAAAUCCGGCACUCUUAAGAUUGAGCUGUGAUGGGGAGAGGAACUUGUUCCUCGAGUCGUUGAUUUCACACUGCCGAGAAAAGCCUCUAGCUAGAAUAACGGUGCCCGUACCGCAAACCGACACAGGUAGUCAAGAUGAGAAUUCUAAGGUGAGCGAGCGAACUCUCGUUAAGGAACUCGGCAAAAUGACCCCGUAACUUCGGGAGAAGGGGUGCUCUUUGAGGUUCACGCUUCGAAGAGCCGCAGUGAAUAGGCCCAAGCGACUGUUUAUCAAAAACACAGGUCUCUGCUAAACCGUAAGGUGACGUAUAGGGGCUGACGCCUGCCCGGUGCUGGAAGGUUAAGAGGAGUGGUUAGCGCAAGCGAAGCUACGAAUCGAAGCCCCAGUAAACGGCGGCCGUAACUAUAACGGUCCUAAGGUAGCGAAAUUCCUUGUCGGGUAAGUUCCGACCCGCACGAAAGGCGUAACGAUUUGGGCACUGUCUCAACGAGAGACUCGGUGAAAUCAUAGUACCGGUGAAGAUGCCGGUUACCCGCGACAGGACGGAAAGACCCCGUGGAGCUUUACUGUAGCCUGAUAUUGAAAUUCGGUACAGUUUGUACA
rnacentral:rRNA from 1 species